UCCGUAGGUGAACCUGCGGAAGGAUCAUUACCGAGUGCGGGCCCCUCGGGGCCCAACCUCCCACCCGUGUUGCCCGAACCUAUGUUGCCUCGGCGGGCCCCGCGCCCGCCGACGGCCCCCCUGAACGCUGUCUGAAGUUGCAGUCUGAGACCUAUAACGAAAUUAGUUAAAACUUUCAACAACGGAUCUCUUGGUUCCGGCAUCGAUGAAGAACGCAGCGAAAUGCGAUAACUAAUGUGAAUUGCAGAAUUCAGUGAAUCAUCGAGUCUUUGAACGCACAUUGCGCCCUCUGGUAUUCCGGAGGGCAUGCCUGUCCGAGCGUCAUUGCUGCCCUCAAGCCCGGCUUGUGUGUUGGGCCCCGUCCCCCCCGCCGGGGGGACGGGCCCGAAAGGCAGCGGCGGCACCGCGUCCGGUCCUCGAGCGUAUGGGGCUUCGUCACCCGCUCUAGUAGGCCCGGCCGGCGCCAGCCGACCCCCAACCUUUAAUUAUCUCAGGUUGACCUCGGAUCAGGUAGGGAUACCCGCUGAACUUAAGCAUAUCAAUAAGCGGAGGA
rnacentral:rRNA from 4 species